rnacentral:lncRNA from 1 species
AAUCAUCCAUUUAACAUAAGAUUUUGGCUAAUCAAACUAAAUAAAAAUAUUAAAUAAAAUAUUUCAUUUUCUUCUAAAACAAUAUUUAUAGAACUUUGCGUAAAUAAUUUUUGCAGCGUAAAAGCAAAAUAAAUUCAUACAUACAGUGGCACACACAGCCAGGUAUACAAAAUAUUCUACAAUGACAUGUGGACCCCAAAAUAACCGAAAACAUACAAGAUUGUAGAAUUUCAAUUUCUAAGGAUGCAAAUCCAAAAGCAACCCUUGACAAAAUCGACUGUCUACAGACUAUCCUGAGCCUGAAAUAGGUAAAAAAGAAGGGGUGAGUUUUUAUAAACCCAGUGAGUAAGCAAAUUUCAUCUAUAAUAUCUAAAAUCGAGUAAAUGGAGAUAAUUUAAAACAUCUCAGUAUAAUAUGAUUCAUAACAUCAAAUCUCAUUUCAACCCAUAUAAAUCAAUUACAUUUCAUCAAAAAUAAUCAAUAAGGCUUAUGAUUCUCUUAAAAAUUUAGCUUGUGCCAAAACUCAUACUCGGUGACAUCUUGGCCAAAGCAUCCAACCGAGUCCGCCAAGGCUGUUAAAAUAACAUAUGCACAUAAAACAAGUUUUUUACAUUUAAAACAUAGCCGUUCCUUGGCGUUGGCUAAGUUUCACCUUGACGUGGUGGUUCAGCGUGAAGUGAACUCUAACGUUACCUUAGGAGAUACCCUCUACGCCUCUCGUACCAAGAUAAAAUAUAACCGGAUUUACCGUGCCCCUCUAAUAGGCUGGUACACGGAAACCUGCCCACUACAGUAAGCUAAUCAAAUAACCCACCAAUUCAAUAAAAUUUUCGACAGCAUGACAUGGCUAAUAUAAUAUUACCAACCUAUCAAGGCAAAGCAAAACAGUUCAUAUAUUCCACACAAACACAAAUCUAGCCAUACUUGCCAUCACAUUGUCAUAAGCCAUCAAUUCAAACCAUAUGUCAAAACAUUUAUAUAACACAAGUAUAUAGUUUCCACUUACUGAAUUUCCAAAACCAGUAUUCAAUUUCAAAACAAGUUAUAAAUCACAUUUCGUUUAAUCAACAUUUCAAUUAUAAAACAUAAUAGUUUGUAAUUUAAAUUCAUUUUUCUUUAAAACAUAAAAACGAGAAUCAACUACUUUAGAUAAUUAAGAUAAAAGUCUGAUUACUCACAAUAACGGGAGUAUGGAGUACUCUUAUUCUUGAUCCUUGGGUACGAUAUCCUUACCCUUACCAGAGGACUCACCACUUAUACAUAAUACACGACAUGUAAUCCAAUAUAUUUAUACCAAACUGUUAUAAAACUAUUUCAGGCUCUUUAUGAAUGCAUGGAAUUGAAUGAGAAAUGUUCGGAUAGUCACUUAAAGACGGUGUUCUACGUAGGUUCAAUUGUGAUCGGAAUGAAUUUGUAUUCGACCUAAUUCGAACUAUACACCAUUGAUUUAACCAAAACAUUUGAUUCAACUUAAAAUAUUUUCAUUACACUCCCAAUAAUCUAAUAUACCAAAGCAUUACAAUGAACUUGAUUUUUGACUAACUUCACUAUUUUCCAAAAUUCAUUUCUAUUCCGAACUAACAUACUAAUGAAUGUCUACACAGUCUCAUAAAUCUAUAUAUAUAAUUAGGAAUCAAACCCAAAUCCAUUUACUAUGAUUUUCUCAGUUUCCAUGAAGCCAUUUUCUAAAGGAACUAUACUUUUCAAUAAUCGGUUUUGAUAUCCAACAUCAUAAUUCAUCAAUUCCUAACUAAAUAACAUGAAUUACAACCAAAUCCAUCAUUAACAUGCCAUAUAGAAAAUUCGGCCAAAUGAGGGUGGUUGAGGAACAUGUGAUUUUCUUGCUUAUUUUUCCUUCUAAACAUCACAAAAUGACUAAAAACACUAGGAUAUUAUGAAAUCUAGCACAAUUCAUCACCAAAACUUCUUUUUCUAGGUUUGGCCAGCAAAGGUUGCCUCUUGAAAACUUGAAUUUCAGCCAUGGAGAAUGAAAAAGAAUGCAUGGGAAUGGUAGAUCACAAGCUAAAAUUAAAAAAUCUUACCUUUACUUGCUUGAUUCCUUGAAAUCCAACAAUUUCUCUUGAAUUUUUCCUUCCUAGGGUUUGUUUUUCUCUUUUUCUCUUUGUUCCCUUGCUUGGCUGGCCAUAAGAGUGAAA